AGAGUUUGAUCCUGGCUCAGAUUGAACGCUGGCGGAAUGCUUUACACAUGCAAGUCGAACGGCAGCACGGACUUCGGUCUGGUGGCGAGUGGCGAACGGGUGAGUAACAUAUCGGAACGUAUCCAAUAAUGGGGGAUAACUAAUCGAAAGGUUGGCUAAUACCGCAUACGCCCUACGGGGGAAAGCUAGGGACCUUCGGGCCUGGCGUUAAUGGAGCGGCCGAUAUCUGAUUAGCUAGUUGGUGGGGUAAAGGCCCACCAAGCCGACGAUCUGCAGCUGGUUUGAGAGAACGACCAGCCACACUGGGACUGAGACACGGCCCAGACUCCUACGGGAGGCAGCAGUGGGGAAUUUUGGUCAAUGGGCGAAAGCCUGAUCCAGCAAUGCCGCGUGCAGGAAGAAGGCCUUCGGGUUGUAAACU
rnacentral:rRNA from 1 species